GCCGAUGCAGGGGAACUGGGUUCGUGCCCCGGUCCGGGAAGAUCGCACAUGCCACAGAGCGGCUGGGCCCGUGAGCCAUGGCCGCUGAGCCUGCGCGUCCGGAGCCUGUGCUCCGCAACGGGAGAGGCCACAACAGUGAGAGGCCCGCAUACCACAAAAAAAAAGGUGGCGGGGGCGGAGUGACCAAAAGACUUGUGGGCAUUUGUGACAUAUGGCUGGCCCUUGCCCACUGCACAAAUGUUUAUCAAGCCUCCACCACAGAGAGAGUGCAAGCGGUAGCUGUGGAUGAGUCAGUCACUGUCCUGAGGCUCAGCCUCCUCAUCCAAAGUCUCAUCGCCAGUUCCCUGAGUCAUCCCUUGCCCCACCCAACUUGUUUUGCCUUUCCCACAGUUUUCCUUGAAUCUUCUGGGACAGAUGACCAGCUCUUGGAGCCGAAAAAGAGAAGAGGUGUCUUUCAGAAAGAGGAGUGCCUCUCCCGUAAGCAAAGCUAGCAGAAGAGCUGGCUCAGUACGCGGGCCUCUCACUGUUGUGGCCUCUCCCGUUGCGGAGCACAGGCUCCAGAUGCGCAGGCUCAGCGGCCAUGGCUCACGGGCCCAGCUGCUCCGCGGCAUGUGGGAUCUUCCCGGAACGGGGCACGAACCCGUGUCCCCUGCAUCGGCAGGCGGACUCUCAACCACUGCGCCACCAGGGAAGCCCUACGUUUUUUUUAAUUAAACAAUUUUUAUUCUUAAAUUUGUAAUUGGUCUUAAAUGCCUCAGAAACAUCUUGUUGAAAAGAAUAUUUGCCUGGUUUUCUCUUCUUUUGGAUGUAGGAACCCUGAUGUUAUAUGUUGCCCUGGGCAGAGGCAAAAGAUGAAGCAGCAGCAGAGGAGGAAACGCUUUUCUUCAGGCCCCCAGAAAUAUCCCACACCGGGGACAACAUCUCAGUGGCUAUCGGCAUACCACGGAAUACUACUUAGCCAUAGAAAGAGUGAAAUAAUGCCAUCUGCAGCAACAUGGAUGGACCUAGAGAUUAUCACAUUAAGUGAAAAACAAGAGAAUUUUCUCCCUGCUGCCAAUGUAAGAAGUUCCUGGGAAAGAAGAUGAUCUACAAACAGGUAACAGGAAGCAGAGAUGUGAGGCUGCCGAAGCCCCUCUGGGGGGGUCACUCCUCAGCACCACGUCACCAGAUCUGAUAUUUCAAGUGAACCGGAAAUCCAAAAUUUGUGUGAAGAUCUCCUAAUUUUUAAAGCCGUUUGCUGCCUUAUUUUCAGCCUUCCCCACAGAAUUUGACUGGUGCACUCAACGUUCAACUUCCUUUUUUUUGCAUUGACACUGCUGUUCUUCACGCCCUUUUGGUUUGCAGCAUACCCUUUUCACCCUAAUUUUGCUCGGUUUCCAUUGUAAAAGCUGCAUUUCCUCUCCAGUCUCUCAUCACCUCUGUAAACACCAAGUCUGGAUGUGCGUCCAGAUGAGCCCCAGAGAUCUCCUCCAGGCGUCUCCACGCAGAGUGCUUGUGUGCUGAACAUCCACAAAGCCACCUUCGCUGCCUUGAACGAGGGGACGCAGAGUCAGGCACGGCAGCAACGGAUGUUCAUCCUCCCAACACGGUAUCAGGCAACAUGUUCGGCCACAACAGUUGUCUCACAGCAGCUAAUUCAGAAGCCAGCUCUGGCUGCCGUGCGUCCUUAAUGGGAAAUGCCUCCAGUCCUACGCUUGCAAUCAGGUCAACCGAAGGUUCACUUCCCAGCACAUUUGGAAGAAUGGCCUUCUUUUAAAAGUUGGAAAAACUGAGUCAGAGAGAGGUGAAGAUGAAGUUCACACAUCUGUCAGCACCAUCAUCAACAUUACCAUCAUGUCUCUUGUCUGUAAUAAAUGGUGAAUGGGAUAGACAAGAUUUCUAGAAACAUGUAUUUCAUAAAUGUGGACAAGUUAUU